rnacentral:snRNA from 1 species
GUGCUCCCUUUGGCAGCACAUAUAUUAGACUUUGGAAAAUACAGAGAAGAUUAUCAUGGCUACUCCAUAAGGAUAGAAUUUUAAAGGUUGUUAAAGAAAAAAAGUUCUU